UCCCUGGUAGCUCAGUAGUAAAGAACCUGCCUGCAAUGCAGGAGCCCCAGGUUCAGUCCCUGGCUUGGGAA
rnacentral:tRNA from 1 species